rnacentral:rRNA from 1 species
GAUGAACGCUGACAGAAUGCUUAACACAUGCAAGUCAACUUGAACUUCGGUUUGGGUGGCGGACGGGUGAGUAACGCGUAAAGAACUUUCCUCACAGAUAGGGACAACAUUUGGAAACGAAUGCUAAUACCUGAUAUUAUGAUUAUAUGGCAUCGUAUAAUUAUGAAAGCUAUAUGCGCUGUGAGAGAGCUUUGCGUCCCAUUAGCUAGGUGGAAAGGUAACGGAUCACCAAGGCGAUGAUGGGUAGCCGGCCUGGGAGGGUGAUCGGCCACAAGGGGACUGAGAAACGGCCAUUACGCAUACGGGAGGCAGGAGUGGGGAAUAGUGGACAAUGGACCAAGAGUGUGAUCCAGCAAUUCGGUGUGCAAGAUGAAGUUUUUAGGAAUGAAAAGUGCUUUCAGUUGGGAAGAAAAAAAUGACGGUACCAACAGAAGAAGUGACGGCUAAAUACGUG